rnacentral:rRNA from 1 species
GUGGGGAAUAUUGGACAAUGGGCGAAAGCCUGAUCCAGCCAUGCCGCGUGUGUGAAGAAGGUCUUCGGAUUGUAAAGCACUUUAAGUUGGGAGGAAGGGCAGUAAGUUAAUACCUUGCUGUUUUGACGUUACCGACAGAAUAAGCACCGGCUAACUUCGUGCCAGCAGCCGCGGUAAUACGAAGGGUGCAAGCGUUAAUCGGAAUUACUGGGCGUAAAGCGCGCGUAGGUGGUUUUGUAAGUUGGAGGUGAAAUCCCCGGGCUCAACCUGGGAACUGCCUCCAAAACUGCAUGACUAGAGUACGGGAGAGGGUAGUGGAAUUUCCUGUGUAGCGGUGAAAUGCGUAGAUAUAGGAAGGAACACCAGUGGCGAAGGCGACUACCUGGACUGAUACUGACACUGAGGUGCGAAAGCGUGGGGAGCAAACAGGAUUAGAUACCCCAGUAGUCC